AGGGAUGUGGCUCAGUGGUAGAGUGCUUGCCUAGCAUGUAUGAGGCACUGGGUUUGAUUCUCAGCACGCCAU
rnacentral:tRNA from 1 species